GAGGAAAGCGGGGGGCGUGCUUAACACAUGCAAGUCGAACGGAAAGGCCUCUUUCGGGGGGUACUCGAGUGGCGAACGGGUGAGUAACACGUGAGUAACCUGCCCUUGACUUUGGGAUAACUUCAGGAAACUGGGGCUAAUACCGGAUAGGAGCUCCUGCUGCAUGGUGGGGGUUGGAAAGUUUCGGCGGUUGGGGAUGGACUCGCGGCUUAUCAGCUUGUUGGUGGGGUAGUGGCUUACCAAGGCUUUGACGGGUAGCCGGCCUGAGAGGGUGACCGGCCACAUUGGGACUGAGAUACGGCCCAGACUCCUACGGGAGGCAGCAGUGGGGAAUAUUGCACAAUGGGUGGAAGCCUGAUGCAGCAACGCCGUGUGCGGGAUGACGGCCUUCGGGUUGUAAACCGCUUUCGCUCAUGACGAAGCUUUGUGUGACGGUAGUGGGUAAAGAAGCACCGGCUAACUACGUG
rnacentral:rRNA from 1 species